rnacentral:rRNA from 1 species
UACGAAGGGGGCUAGCGUUGUUCGGAAUCACUGGGCGUAAAGCGCACGCAGGCGGUCCGUUAAGUUUGGAGUGACAGUUGGUGGCUCAACCACCAAAGUGCUUUGAAAACUGGCAGACUUGAGGGCUUCAGAGGGACACGGAAUUCCGGGUGGAGUGGUGAAAUGCGUAGAGAUCCGGAGGAACACCGAAGGCGAAGGCAGUGUCCUGGGGAGUACCUGACGCUCAGGUGCGAAAGCCAGGGGAGCGAACGGG